GCCGGUGUAGCUCAGUUGGUAGAGCAACGCUUUUGUAAAGCGAAGGUCGCGGGUUCGAUUCCCCCCACCGGCUCCA
rnacentral:tRNA from 4 species